UACGAAGGGGCUAGGCGUUGCUCGGAAUCACUGGCGUAAAGCGCACGUAGGCGGAUUGCUAAGUCAGGGGUGAAAUCCUGGGAGCUCAACUCCAGAACUGCCUUUGAUACUGGCGAUCUCGAGUCCGGGAGAGGUGAGUGGAACUGCGAGUGUAGAGGUGAAAUUCGUAGAUAUUCGCAAGAACACCAGUGGCGAAGGCGGACAUCACUGGCCCGGGAACUGACGCUGGACGGUAGCGAAAGCGUGGGGAGCAAAGCAGG
rnacentral:rRNA from 1 species